GGCUCGGUAGCUUAGUUGGUAAAGCGCUCGUCUAGCAUACAAGAGUCCUGGGUUCAAAUCCCAGCCGAACAC
rfam:Aedes aegypti strain Liverpool supercont1.189 genomic scaffold, whole genome shotgun sequence.